rnacentral:rRNA from 1 species
UACGUAGGUGGCAAGCGUUGUCCGGAUUUACUGGGCGUAAAGCGCACGUAGGCGGUUCGUUAAGUCGGAUGUGAAAGCCCUCGGCUCAACUGAGGAAGUGCACCCGAAACUGGCGAGCUUGAGUACGAAAGAGGAUCGCGGAAUUCCCGGUGUAGAGGUGAAAUUCGUAGAUAUCGGGAGGAACACCGGCGGCGAAGGCGGCGAUCUGGGUCGAUACUGACGCUGAGGUGCGAAAGCGUGGGGAGCAAACAGG